rnacentral:rRNA from 1 species
UGCCAGCCGCCGCGGUAAUACGAAGGGGGCUAGCGUUGUUCGGAAUCACUGGGCGUAAAGCGCACGUAGGCGGACUUUCAAGUCAGGGGUGAAAUCCCGGGGCUCAACCUCGGAACUGCCUUUGAUACUGUUGGUCUCGAGUCCGGAAGAGGUGGGUGGAAUUCCUAGUGUAGAGGUGAAAUUCGUAGAUAUUAGGAAGAACACCGGUGGCGAAGGCGGCCCACUGGUCCGGUACUGACGCUGAGGUGCGAAAGCGUGGGGAGCAAACAGGAUUAGAUA